rnacentral:rRNA from 1 species
UCGAGCGGCGAACGGGUGAGUAACGCGUGGAUAACCUGCCCAGAGGUGGGGGAUAACCCGGGGAAACUCGGGCUAAUACCGCAUAUGACCGUGAGGUCAAAGGGGGCUCGCAAGAGCUCUCGCCAUUGGAGGGGUCCGCGUCCGAUUAGCUAGUUGGUAGGGUAAUGGCCUACCAAGGCGACGAUCGGUAGCCGGCCUGAGAGGGUGAUCGGCCACACUGGAACUGAGACACGGUCCAG